rnacentral:rRNA from 1 species
GACCUCAAAUCAGGUGGGACUACCCGCUGAACUUAAGCAUAUCAAUAAGCGGAGGAAAAGAAACUAACAAGGAUUCCCCUAGUAACUGCGAGUGAAGCGGGAAAAGCUCAAAUUUAAAAUCUGGUGGUCUCCGGCCGUCCGAGUUGUAGUCUGGAGAAGCGUUUUCCGCGUUGGACCGUGUACAAGUUUCCUGGAACGGAGCGUCAUAGAGGGUGAGAAUCCCGUCUUUGACACGGACCCCAAUGCUUUGUGAUGCGCUCUCAAAGAGUCGAGUUGUUUGGGAAUGCAGCUCAAAAUGGGUGGUGAAUUCCAUCUAAAGCUAAAUAUUGGCGAGAGACCGAUAGCGAACAAGUACCGUGAGGGAAAGAUGAAAAGCACUUUGGAAAGAGAGUUAAACAGUACGUGAAAUUGUUGAAAGGGAAACGCUUGAAGUCAGUCGCGUCUGCCGGGACUCAGCCUUGCUUCCGCUAGGUGUACUUUCCGGUAGACGGGCCAGCAUCAGUUUUGGCCGCGAGAAAAAGGCGGAGGGAAUGUGGCUCUUUCGGGAGUGUUAUAGCCCUCUGUCACAUGUCGCGGCUGGGACUGAGGACCGCAGCACGCCUUUAUGGCCGGGGUUCGCCCACGUACGUGCUUAGGAUGCUGGCGUAAUGGCUUUAAACGACCCGUCUUGAAACACGGACCAAGGAGUCUAACAUGCCUGCGAGUGUUCGGGUGGAAAACCCGUGCGCGUAAUGAAAGUGAAAGUUGGGAUCCCUGUCGUGGGGUGCACCGACGCCCGGACCAGACCUUUUGUGACGGAUCUGCGGUAGAGCAUGUAUGUUGGGACCCGAAAGAUGGUGAACUAUGCCUGAAUAGGGUGAAGCCAGAGGAAACUCUGGUGGAGGCUCGUAGCGAUUCUGACGUGCAAAUCGAUCGUCAAAUUUGGGUAUAGGGGCGAAAGACUAAUCGAACCAUCUAGUAGCUGG